rnacentral:rRNA from 1 species
ACUCCUACGGGAGGCAGCAGUGGGGGAAUAUUGCACAAUGGGCGCAAGCCUGAUGCAGCAACGCCGUGUGAGUGAAGAAGGUUUUCGGAUCGUAAAACUCUGUCCUAAGGGAAGAAACAAAUGACGGUACCUUAGGAGGAAGCCCCGGCUAACUACGUGCCAGCAGCCGCGGUAAUACGUAGGGGGCAAGCGUUAUCCGGAAUCACUGGGGCGUAAAGGGUGCGUAGGCGGCUUAGCAAGCCAGGGGUGAAAGGCAUUGGCUCAACCAAUGUAAGCCUUUGGAACUGUUAAGCUUGAGUGCAGGAGAGGUAAGUGGAAUUCCUAGUGUAGAGGUGAAAUUCGUAGAUAUUAGGAGGAACACCAGUGGCGAAGGCGACUUACUGGACUGUAACUGACGCUGAUGCACGAAAGCGUGGGUAGCGAACAGGAUUAGAUACCCUGGUAGCACAGAGC